rnacentral:pre_miRNA from 1 species
AAAGGACGCGAGCAAAGAUGGAGAGGGCAAUGCUGCGGACAAGCGGGCACGAGGCCGUCCUAAAAAAGCUGACGGCGAACCUG